rnacentral:tRNA from 1 species
CCAUUGGUAGUUCAGUGGUAGAGUCCUUGCUUUCACACUGGAGACCUGAGUUCAAAUCCCGGCCAAUGUG